UUUCCUAACUCCUCAUGAACCAUCCUAACCAUCUAUCCUUGACCCUGUGACCUUUUCCACAGAGCUCAAUGAAUACUAGUUAGGAACAGUUGACGAUCACUCAAAGGAUUUGUUCAUAUUUCACCUCUUCAACCACAUUGUUCUUUAAUCAUGACGUCAGAUACUAAUUCUUACUCUACAGUUUGUUGCAUUUUGUUAUUUAUUCAUUAAGGUGCUUUUGUAACAAAGACGACUAACAAACCUCCAGUGAAUGAGACACCUGAGAAGAAGACGACCAAAAGUCCACCUGAAGACAAGAAACCAGUGACUGCAGCCUUGUUGAGGACCUUCGUUGUGUGUUUGGGUUCAGCAGCACUUUUAAUAAGUGUUGUUACAGUCAACAUCUGGACAAGAACUAAAGGGAAAGAAACCCGGAUGGAGA